UGAACGCUGGCGGCGUGCUUAACACAUGCAAGUCGACCGGAAAGGCCCAAGCUUGCUUGGGUACUCGAGUGGCGAACGGGUGAGUAACACGUGGGUGAUCUGCCCUGCACUUCGGGAUAAGCCUGGGAAACUGGGUCUAAUACCGGAUAGGACCACUUCUUGGAUGUUGUGGUGGAAAGUUUUUUCGGUGUGGGAUGAGCUCGCGGCCUAUCAGCUUGUUGGUGGGGUAAUGGCCUACCAAGGCGUCGACGGGUAGCCGGCCUGAGAGGGUGUACGGCCACAUUGGGACUGAGAUACGGCCCAGACUCCUACGGGAGGCAGCAGUGGGGAAUAUUGCACAAUGGGCGCAAGCCUGAUGCAGCGACGCCGCGUGGGGGAUGACGGCCUUCGGGUUGUAAACUCCUUUCGCUAGGGACGAAGCGUUUUUGUGACGGGACCUGGAGAAGAAGCACCGGCUAACUACGU
rnacentral:rRNA from 1 species